rnacentral:misc_RNA from 1 species
AUGAAAAUCCAUAUAAAUCCAUCAAAGACUUGAAAUAAUAUAAAGUAGAUUCACAUGAAAUUAUAGGAAGUGAAGUUUACAUACUUCAAGUCAUAUCUGAUUCUGUAGUUCCUACUUGUAGAUGUGACAGGAAGGUGGAGGUUUUCGAUGAAUUCUUUACAUUGAGAGCAAAAAUGUUGAUUUCUGGGGUUUUCAUGGAAGAACCGAAUUUUUUAAGCUGCUUAUCAAGAUUUGCCUGCAGUGCCUGAGGGGAGAAAAGAUCUGGCCUUUCAAAAACUUUGACAGCAAAAUUUGCUGCAAGAUUAACCGAGUUCGUAGCAGUAUUCAGGAAAGCUUUUGCCAGAGGCAAUAUGCAGAACAUUCCCCGGCCACCAGCUAGAGCUUCCUCUGAGGGUUCUUUCCAUUCAUCAAACACCCAACCGUAACGGCGAUCAUAGAGGAAGCGAUUGGACGGCCGUCGGAAGGAGGUAGCGGUGGAGAUUUUGGAGGAGCUUGUGGAGUCCAUUAGCUCUUACCAGUUGCC